CCUACGGGAGGCAGCAGUAGGGAAUCUUCCACAAUGGGCGAAAGCCUGAUGGAGCAACGCCGCGUGGGUGAAGAAGGUCCUCGGAUCGUAAAACCCUGUUGUUAGAGAAGAAAGUGCGUGAGAGUAACUGUUCACGUUUCGACGGUAUCUAACAGGAAAGCCACGGCUAACUACGUGCCAGCAGCCGCGGUAAUACGUAGGUGGCAAGCGUUAUCCGGAUUUAUUGGGCGUAAAGGGAACGCAGGCGGUUUUUUAAGUCUGAUGUGAAAGUCUUCGGCUUAACCGGGGUCGUGCAUUUGAUACUGGAUGACUUGAGGACAGAAGAGGAAGGUGGAACGCCAUGUGUAGCGGUGAAAUGCGUAGAUAUA
rnacentral:rRNA from 1 species